rnacentral:rRNA from 1 species
GAUGAACGCUGGCGGCGUGCCUAAUACAUGCAAGUCGAGCGAACUGAUUAGAAGCUUGCUUCUAUGACGUUAGCGGCGGACGGGUGAGUAACACGUGGGCAACCUGCCUGUAAGACUGGGAUAACUUCGGGAAACCGAAGCUAAUACCGGAUAGGAUCUUCUCCUUCAUGGGAGAUGAUUGAAAGAUGGUUUCGGCUAUCACUUACAGAUGGGCCCGCGGUGCAUUAGCUAGUUGGUGAGGUAACGGCUCACCAAGGCAACGAUGCAUAGCCGAACUGAGAGGGUGAUCGGCCACACUGGGACUGAGACACGGCCCAGACGCCUACGGGGGGCAGCGGUAGGGAAUCUUCCGCAAUGGACGAAGGUCUGACGGAGCAACGCCGCGUGAGUGAUGAAGGCUUUCGGGUCGUAAAACUCUGUUGUUAGGGAAGAACAAGUACGAGAGUAACUGCUCGUACCUUGACGGUACCUAACCAGAAAGCCACGGCUAACUACGUGCCAGCAGCCGCAGUAAAAC